GCUCCCGUGGUGAAAUGGAUAUCAUAAAUGCCUUCGAAGCAUUCGUUGCAGGUUCGAGUCCUGCCGGGAGCG
rnacentral:tRNA from 2 species